AGAAGCUUUACUCACUACGUGGGGACCCCUCGCCUUGGAUCACAAAGAGUCUCGACCUUCCUGGACAUCAGCUCAGACCAGAUGAUGUUAAAAAGCUUCGUUGCCGUUGCUGUCUGAUUGAUUACCAGCCAGAUACUCCCUGAACCCAUGCCCAGCCACCCACGCCUCCCUAAUUUCAAGGUCUGAAGGCCAGAUGGACUCAAGCAAGCCAUUUGCCUUUCUGAAAUCUCAGCUGCCUCAUCUGAGCAAGUGAGAUAAGCCGGCUUAUCUUGCCGCUGUGAAGCUGUCUGCAAGGCAAGGUGCCUAAUAAACGUCAGCCAUUACUCACGGGAAUCAAA